rnacentral:misc_RNA from 1 species
GUAUUUUGAAUUAAGUAUUCAUACAAAGUAUUUCAGACAAACUAGUUAAAGAUAUAAGGGUAUAUAUAAUCCUCUGUAGAACAUACAUUCUGCAGAGAAUUGACAUUGCACACAAGGUGGAUAUGGAUUUAAAAAGUGCCAUAAAACACUUAUUAUGAAUGAUCCUUCCGCAGGUUCACCUACGGAAA